rnacentral:rRNA from 1 species
UAGGGAAUAUUGCGCAAUGAGCGAAAGCUUGACGCAGCCAUGCCGCGUGGAUGACGAAGGCCUUCGGGUCGUAAAGUCCUUUUCUGAGGGAAGAACUGAUUGGGGAGUGGAAAACCCCGGUUUUGACGGUACCUCAGGAAUAAGCAACGGCUAACUCCGUGCCAGCAGCCGCGGUAAUACGGAGGUUGCAAGCGUUGUUCGGAUUUACUGGGCGUAAAGGGAGCGCAGGCGGCCAAGUUAGUCCAAAGUGAAAUCCCGGGGCUCAACCUCGGACGUGCUUUGGAUACUGCUUGGCUUGAGUACGUGAGAGGUAAGCGGAAUUCCAGGUGUAGCGGUGAAAUGCGUAGAUAUCUGGAGGAACACCGGUGGCGAAAGCGGCUUACUGGCACGAGACUGACGCUGAGGCUCGAAAGCGUGGGGAGCGGAACGGGAUUAGGAUACCCCGGUAGUCCACGCCGUAAACGUUGUGCACUAGGUGUGGGAGGUA